CCUGGCUCAGGACGAACGCUGGCGGCGCGCCUAACACAUGCAAGUCGAACGAGAGAUGAGGAGCUUGCUCUUCAAAUCGAGUGGCGAACGGGUGAGUAACGCGUGAGGAACCUGCCUCAAAGAGGGGGACAACAGUUGGAAACGACUGCUAAUACCGCAUAAGCCCACGGCUCGGCAUCGAGCAGAGGGAAAAGGAGCAAUCCGCUUUGAGAUGGCCUCGCGUCCGAUUAGCUGGUUGGUGAGGUAACGGCCCACCAAGGCGACGAUCGGUAGCCGGACUGAGAGGUUGAACGGCCACAUUGGGACUGAGACACGGCCCAGACUCCUACGGGAGGCAGCAGUGGGGAAUAUUGCACAAUGGGGGAAACCCUGAUGCAGCGACGCCGCGUGGAGGAAGAAGGUCUUCGGAUUGUAAACUCCUGUUGUUGAGGAAGAUAAUGACGGUACUCAACAAGGAAGUGACGGCUAACUACGUGCCAGCAGCCGCGGUAAAACGUAGGUCACAAGCGUUGUCCGGAAUUACUGGGUGUAAAGGGAGCGCAGGCGGGAGAACAAGUUGGAAGUGAAAUCCAUGGGCUCAACCCAUGAACUGCUUUCAAAACUGUUUUUCUUGAGUAGUGCAGAGGUAGGCGGAAUUCCCGGUGUAGCGGUGGAAUGCGUAGAUAUCGGGAGGAACACCAGUGGCGAAGGCGGCCUACUGGGCACCAACUGACGCUGAGGCUCGAAAGUGUGGGUAGCAAACAGGAUUAGAUACCCUGGUAGUCCACACCGUAAACGAUGAUUACUAGGUGUUGGAGGAUUGACCCCUUCAGUGCCGCAGUUAACACAAUAAGUAAUCCACCUGGGGAGUACGACCGCAAGGUUGAAACUCAAAGGAAUUGACGGGGGCCCGCACAAGCAGUGGAGUAUGUGGUUUAAUUCGACGCAACGCGAAGAACCUUACCAAGUCUUGACAUCCCUUGACGAACAUAGAAAUAUGUUUUCUCUUCGGAGCAAGGAGACAGGUGGUGCAUGGUUGUCGUCAGCUCGUGUCGUGAGAUGUUGGGUUAAGUCCCGCAACGAGCGCAACCCUUAUGGUCAGUUACUACGCAAGAGGACUCUGGCCAGACUGCCGUUGACAAAACGGAGGAAGGUGGGGAUGACGUCAAAUCAUCAUGCCCUUUAUGACUUGGGCUACACACGUACUACAAUGGCGUUAAACAAAGAGAAGCAAGACCGCGAGGUGGAGCAAAACUCAGAAACAACGUCCCAGUUCGGACUGCAGGCUGCAACUCGCCUGCACGAAGUCGGAAUUGCUAGUAAUCGUGGAUCAGCAUGCCACGGUGAAUACGUUCCCGGGCCUUGCACACACCGCCC
rnacentral:rRNA from 1 species